rnacentral:rRNA from 1 species
GAUGAACGCUGACAGAAUGCUUAACACAUGCAAGUCUUUGGCGAAGCUGUGCUUGCACAGCCCAGCCAAGGCGGACGGGUGAGUAACGCGUAAGGAACUUGCCCUGCAGUCAGGGAUAACAGACGGAAACGACUGAUAAGACCUGGUAAAGUCAGGCGGACUCAUGUCCAGCCUGAUGAAAAGAGAUGCUGCAGGAGAGCCUUGCGUCCUAUUAGCUUGUUGGUGGGGUAACGGCCCACCAAGGCGAUGAUAGGUAGCCGGCCUGAGAGGGUGGACGGCCACAAGGGGACUGAGAUACGGCCCUUACUCCUACGGGAGGCAGCAGUGGGGAAUAUUGGACAAUGGGGGCAACCCUGAUCCAGCAAUUCUGUGUGCACGAUGAAGGUUUUCGGAUUGUAAAGUGCUUUCAGCAGGGAAGAAAAAAAUGACGGUACCUGCAGAAGAAGCGACGGCUAAAUACGUG